rnacentral:rRNA from 1 species
AGUGAACGCUGGCGGUAGGCCUAACACAUGCAAGUCGAACGGCAGCACAGUAAGAGCUUGCUCUUACGGGUGGCGAGUGGCGGACGAGUGAGGAAUACAUCGGAAUCUACUUUUUCGUGGGGGAUAACGUAGGGAAACUUACGCUAAUACCGCAUACGACCUACGGGUGAAAGCAGGGGAUCUUCGGACCUUGCGCGAUUGAAUGAGCCGAUGUCGGAUUAGCUAGUUGGCGGGGUAAAGGCCCACCAAGGCGGCGAUCCGUGGCUGGUCUGAGAGGAUGAUCAGCCACACUGGAACUGAGACACGGUCCAGACUCCUACGGGAGGCAGCAGUGGGGAAUAUUGGACAAUGGGCGCAAGCCUGAUCCAGCCAUACCGCGUGGGUGAAGAAGGCCUUCGGGUUGUAAAGCCCUUUUGUUGGGAAAGAAAAGCAGCAGGUUAAUACCCCGCUGUUCUGACGGUACCCAAAGAAUAAGCACCGGCUAACUUCGUG